GCAAUAGCUCAGUUGGUAGAGCAGUUGAUUUGUAAUCAUCAGGCCCCGAGUUCGAAUCUUGGUUGCG
rnacentral:tRNA from 1 species